GCCCGCAUAGCUCAAUUGGCAGAGCAGGGGACUCUUAAUCCCAAGGUCCAAGGUUCGACUCCUUGUGCGGGCACCA
rnacentral:tRNA from 1 species